rnacentral:rRNA from 1 species
AGUGAACGCUGGCGGUAGGCCUAACACAUGCAAGUCGAACGGCAGCACAGUAAGAGCUUGCUCUUACGGGUGGCGAGUGGCGGACGGGUGAGGAAUACAUCGGAAUCUACUUUUUCGUGGGGGAUAACGUAGGGAAACUUACGCUAAUACCGCAUACGACCUACGGGUGAAAGCAGGGGAUCUUCGGACCUUGCGCGAUUGAAUGAGCCGCUGUCGGAUUAGCUAGUUGGCGGGGUAAAGGCCCACCAAGGCGACGAUCCGUAGCUGGUCGGAGAGGAUGAUCAGCCACACUGGAACUGAGACACGGUCCAGACUCCUACGGGAGGCAGCAGUGGGGAAUAUGGGACAAUGGGCGCAAGCCUGAUCCAGCCAUACCGCGUGGGUGAAGAAGGCCUUCGGGUUGUAAAGCCCUUUUGUUGGGAAAGAAAAGCAGCAGGUUAAUACCCCGCUGUUCUGACGGUACCCAAAGAAUAAGCACCGGCUAACUUCGUG